UGAGGAAUAUUGGUCAAUGGGCGCAAGCCUGAACCAGCCAUGCCGCGUGAAGGAAGAAGGCCCUAAGGGUUGUAAACUUCUUUUGUACGGGGGUAAUUUACGGAUCGUGAUCUGUAUUGAAAGUACUGUACGAAUAAGCGUCGGCUAACUACGUGCCAGCAGCCGCGGUAAUACGUAGGACGCAAGCGUUAUCCGGAUUCAUUGGGUUUAAAGGGUGCGUAGGCGGGCCUUUAAGUCAGUGGUGAAAGUUUGCCGCUUAACGGUAAGAUUGCCAUUGAUACUGGAGGCCUUGAGUGCAGAUGAGGUAGGCGGAAUGUGUAGUGUAGUGGUGAAAUACUUAGAUAUUACACAGAACACCGAUUGCGAAGGCAGCUUACUAAAUUGCAACUGACGCUGAGGCACGAAAGCGUGGGGAUCAAACA
rnacentral:rRNA from 1 species